AACGAACGCUGGCGGUACGCCUAACACAUGCAAGUCGAGCGCUACCUUCGGGUGGAGCGGCGGACGGGUUAGUAACGCGUGGGAACAUACCCAACUCUAAGGAAUAGCCACUGGAAACGGUGAGUAAUACCUUAUACGCCCUUCGGGGGAAAGAUUUAUCGGAGAUGGAUUGGCCCGCGUUGGAUUAGAUAGUUGGUGGGGUAAUGGCCUACCAAGUCUACGAUCUAUAGCUGGUUUGAGAGGAUGAUCAGCAACACUGGGACUGAGACACGGCCCAG
rnacentral:rRNA from 1 species